GGGUUGUGAGGUUAAGCGACUAAGCGUACACGGUGGAUGCCCUGGCAGUCAGAGGCGAUGAAGGGCGUGCUAAUCUGCGAUAAGCGCCGGUAAGGUGAUAUGAACCGUUAUAACCGGCGAUACCCGAAUGGGGAAACCCAGUGUGAUUCGUCACACUAUCAUUAACUGAAUCCAUAGGUUAAUGAGGCGAACCGGGGGAACUGAAACAUCUAAGUACCCCGAGGAAAAGAAAUCAACCGAGAUUCCCCCAGUAGCGGCGAGCGAACGGGGAGGAGCCCAGAGCCUGAAUCAGCAUGUGUGUUAGUGGAAGCGUCUGGAAAGGCGCGCGAUACAGGGUGACAGCCCCGUACACAAAAGCGCAUGUGCUGUGAGCUCGAUGAGUAGGGCGGGACACGUGGUAUCCUGUCUGAAUAUGGGGGGACCAUCCUCCAAGGCUAAAUACUCCUGACUGACCGAUAGUGAACCAGUACCGUGAGGGAAAGGCGAAAAGAACCCCGGCGAGGGGAGUGAAAAAGAACCUGAAACCGUGUACGUACAAGCAGUGGGAGCACAGGUUUACCUGUGUGACUGCGUACCUUUUGUAUAAUGGGUCAGCGACUUAUAUUCUGUAGCAAGGUUAACCGAAUAGGGGAGCCGGAGGGAAACCGAGUCUUAAUUGGGCGUUAAGUUGCAGGGUAUAGACCCGAAACCCGGUGAUCUAGCCAUGGGCAGGUUGAAGGUUGGGUAACACUAACUGGAGGACCGAACCGACUAAUGUUGAAAAAUUAGCGGAUGACCUGUGGCUGGGGGUGAAAGGCCAAUCAAACCGGGAGAUAGCUGGUUCUCCCCGAAAGCUAUUUAGGUAGCGCCUCGUGAAUUCAUCUCCGGGGGUAGAGCACUGUUUCGGCUAGGGGGCCAUCCCGGCUUACCAACCCGAUGCAAACUGCGAAUACCGGAGAAUGUUAUCACGGGAGACACACGGCGGGUGCUAACGUCCGUCGUGAAGAGGGAAACAACCCAGACCGCCAGCUAAGGUCCCAAAGUCAUGGUUAAGUGGGAAACGAUGUGGGAAGGCCCAGACAGCCAGGAUGUUGGCUUAGAAGCAGCCAUCAUUUAAAGAAAGCGUAAUAGCUCACUGGUCGAGUCGGCCUGCGCGGAAGAUGUAACGGGGCUAAACCAUGCACCGAAGCUGCGGCAGCGACGCUGAUGCGUUGUUGGGUAGGGGAGCGUUCUGUAAGCCUGCGAAGGUGGCCUGUGAGGGUUGCUGGAGGUAUCAGAAGUGCGAAUGCUGACAUAAGUAACGAUAAAGCGGGUGAAAAGCCCGCUCGCCGGAAGACCAAGGGUUCCUGUCCAACGUUAAUCGGGGCAGGGUGAGUCGACCCCUAAGGCGAGGCCGAAAGGCGUAGUCGAUGGGAAACGGGUUAAUAUUCCCGUACUUGGUGUUACUGCGAAGGGGGGACGGAGAAGGCUAUGUUGGCCGGGCGACGGUUGUCCCGGUUUAAGCGUGUAGGCUGGUUUUCCAGGCAAAUCCGGAAAAUCAAGGCUGAGGCGUGAUGACGAGGCACUACGGUGCUGAAGCAACAAAUGCCCUGCUUCCAGGAAAAGCCUCUAAGCAUCAGGUAACAUCAAAUCGUACCCCAAACCGACACAGGUGGUCAGGUAGAGAAUACCAAGGCGCUUGAGAGAACUCGGGUGAAGGAACUAGGCAAAAUGGUGCCGUAACUUCGGGAGAAGGCACGCUGACACGUAGGUGAAGUGAUUUACUCAUGGAGCUGAAGUCAGUCGAAGAUACCAGCUGGCUGCAACUGUUUAUUAAAAACACAGCACUGUGCAAACACGAAAGUGGACGUAUACGGUGUGACGCCUGCCCGGUGCCGGAAGGUUAAUUGAUGGGGUCAGCGCAAGCGAAGCUCCUGAUCGAAGCCCCGGUAAACGGCGGCCGUAACUAUAACGGUCCUAAGGUAGCGAAAUUCCUUGUCGGGUAAGUUCCGACCUGCACGAAUGGCGUAAUGAUGGCCAGGCUGUCUCCACCCGAGACUCAGUGAAAUUGAACUCGCUGUGAAGAUGCAGUGUACCCGCGGCAAGACGGAAAGACCCCGUGAACCUUUACUAUAGCUUGACACUGAACAUUGAGCCUUGAUGUGUAGGAUAGGUGGGAGGCUUUGAAGUGUGGACGCCAGUCUGCAUGGAGCCGACCUUGAAAUACCACCCUUUAAUGUUUGAUGUUCUAACGUGGACCCGUUACCCGGGUUGCGGACAGUGUCUGGUGGGUAGUUUGACUGGGGCGGUCUCCUCCUAAAGAGUAACGGAGGAGCACGAAGGUUGGCUAAUCCUGGUCGGACAUCAGGAGGUUAGUGCAAUGGCAUAAGCCAGCUUGACUGCGAGCGUGACGGCGCGAGCAGGUGCGAAAGCAGGUCAUAGUGAUCCGGUGGUUCUGAAUGGAAGGGCCAUCGCUCAACGGAUAAAAGGUACUCCGGGGAUAACAGGCUGAUACCGCCCAAGAGUUCAUAUCGACGGCGGUGUUUGGCACCUCGAUGUCGGCUCAUCACAUCCUGGGGCUGAAGUAGGUCCCAAGGGUAUGGCUGUUCGCCAUUUAAAGUGGUACGCGAGCUGGGUUUAGAACGUCGUGAGACAGUUCGGUCCCUAUCUGCCGUGGGCGCUGGAGAACUGAGGGGGGGCUGCUCCUAGUACGAGAGGACCGGAGUGGACGCAUCACUGGUGUUCGGGUUGUCAUGCCAAUGGCACUGCCCGGUAGCUAAAUGCGGAAGAGAUAAGUGCUGAAAGCAUCUAAGCACGAAACUUGCCCCGAGAUGAGUUCUCCCUGAGACUUAGAGUCUCCUGAAGGAACGUUGAAGACGACGACGUUGAUAGGCCGGGUGUGUAAGCGCAGCGAUGCGUUGAGCUAACCGGUACUAAUGAACCGUGAGGCUUAACCUUACAACGCCGAAG
rnacentral:rRNA from 1 species